rnacentral:rRNA from 1 species
UCGAUCCUGCCAGUAGUCAUAUGCUUGCUUCAAAGAUUAAGCCAUGCAUGUCUAAGUACAAGCUCGUCCCGAGCGAAACUGCGGAUGGCUCAUUAAAUCAGUUAUGGUUCAUUGGAUCGAGUCCCCCGACAUGGAUAACUGUGGUAAUUCUAGAGCUAAUACAUGCGUCCAAGCGCCGACUUCCAGAAGGCGUGCUUUAUUAGGAACAAGACCAGCCCGGUCUCGGCCGGCAACACUGGUGAACUCUGGAUAACACAGCCGAUCGCACGGUCUUCGCACCGGCGACGGAUCCUUCGAAUGUCUGCCCUAUCAACUUUCGAUGGUACGUUAUGCGCCUACCAUGGUCGUCACGGGUAACGGAGAAUCAGGGUUCGAUUCCGGAGAGGGAGCCUGAGAAACGGCUACCACAUCCAAGGAAGGCAGCAGGCGCGCAAAUUACCCACUCCCGACACGGGGAGGUAGUGACGAAAAAUAACAAUACAGGACUCUUUCGAGGCCCUGUAAUUGGAAUGAGUACACUUUAAAUCCUUUAACGAGGAUCCACUGGAGGGCAAGUC